rnacentral:lncRNA from 1 species
GCCGCAUUCUUUUGCUCCGCUCCAUCCUGCGUGCUUCGGAGCUCUGCCUUGCCAGCCUGCCUGGGCUGCGCUUUGUCCGGCGAUGGCGAGCGAGGGGAAGCCGCUGCCAGGCCCAGGCCAGCCGUUGUCGCUGGAGGUGGAGCGCGUCCAGUUCCUGGAGCAGCCGCCGCUGCUUUGCAACUUGCAACCUGGCUAAUUUCCUGCGUCCUCUGGCACCAGGAAGGAGGACAAUUCGUCUCUUGGGCUGCCGAAGCGACAGCUGUCAGAGAGGCAGAAGCUUCUGGGAGCCGCGGUCUGAAGGCUACGUGUGCUGCCUGGUCAUUCAAAGUGUCAAUUUUAGGUCCAGAAGUGUCCAAACCACAAGUUCUCAAAACUCUGAAAAAUGGCUCCCUCCAUGUUAAGAGUGCCUGGACACUGGAAAAAAAGAUUCCCUGAGCACCUGGAACUGGAGACCAUUCCUGGUUCAGAUUUAAACAUCUUUGGAGAAUCCCUGGAAAUAGCUGAUGGCAGCGGCGGGGGAUCCAGGCGUCUGAGAACCGCGUACACCAACACUCAGCUUUUGGAGCUGGAAAAGGAAUUUCAUUUCAACAAGUACCUUUGCAGACCCCGCAGGGUGGAAAUCGCCGCGCUGCUGGAUUUGACCGAGAGACAAGUGAAAGUGUGGUUUCAGAACCGGAGAAUGAAGCAUAAGAGGCAAACCCAGUGCAAGGAGAACCAAAACAGCGAAGGGAAAUUUAAAAACCUGGAGGACU